GAUGAAGAACGUAGCGAAAUGCGAUACGUAAUGUGAAUUGCAAAUUCAGUGAAUCAUCGAGUCUUUGAACGCACAUUGCGCCCCCUGGUAUUCCGGGGGGCAUGCCUGUCCGAGCGUCAUUGCUGCCCUCAAGCCCGGCUUGUGUGUUGGGCCCCGUCCCCCGAUCUCCGGGGGACGGGCCCGAAAGGCAGCGGCGGCACCGCGUCCGGUCCUCGAGCGUAUGGGGCUUUGUCACCCGCUCUGUAGGCCCGGCCGGCGCUUGCCGAUCAACCCAAAUUUUUAUCCAGGUUGACCUCGGAUCAGGUAGGGAUACCCGCUGAACUUAAGCAUAUCAAUAAGCGGAGGA
rnacentral:misc_RNA from 1 species